rnacentral:rRNA from 1 species
CUACGGGAUGCUGCAGUAGGGAAUAUUGGGCAAUGGGCGCAAGCCUGACCCAGCAACGCCGCGUGCGCGAAGAAGGCCUUCGGGUCGUAAAGCGCUUUUCUGAGGGAUGAGAAAGGACAGUACCUCAGGAAUAAGCCUCGGCUAACUACGUGCCAGCAGCCGCGGUAAAACGUAGGAGGCGAGCGUUAUCCGGAUUUACUGGGCGUAAAGCGUGUGCAGGCGGUCUGGCAAGUUGGAUGUGAAAGCUCCCGGCUCAACUGGGAGAGGUCGUUCAAAACUACCGGACUAGAGUGUAUCAGAGGGAGAUGGAAUUCCCGGUGUAGUGGUGAAAUGCGUAGAUAUCGGGAGGAACACCAGUGGCGAAAGCGAUCUUCUGGGAUACUACUGACGCUCAGACACGAAAGCUAAGGUAGCGAACGGGAUUAGAUACCCCCGUAGUC